GGGAAGGUAGCUCAGUGGUAGAGUGCCUGCCUUGCAUGCAUGAGACCCUGGGUUCGAUUUCUUAGCACCA
rfam:Dipodomys ordii contig_69024, whole genome shotgun sequence.